rnacentral:rRNA from 1 species
UGAGAAUUUGAUCUUGGUUCAGAUUGAACGCUGGCGGCGUGGAUGAGGCAUGCAAGUCGAACGGAAUAAUGACUUCGGUUGUUAUUUAGUGGCGGAAGGGUUAGUAAUACAUAGAUAAUCUGUCCUCAACUUGGGAAUAACGGUUGGAAACGACCGCUAAUACCGAAUGUGGUAUGUUUAGGCAUCUAAAACAUAUUAAAGAAGGGGAUCUUCGGACCUUUCGGUUGAGGGAGAGUCUAUGGGAUAUCAGCUUGUUGGUGGGGUAAUGGCCUACCAAGGCUUUGACGUCUAGGCGGAUUGAGAGAUUGACCGCCAACACUGGGACUGAGACACUGCCCAGACUUCUACGGAAGGCUGCAGUCGAGAAUCUUUCGCAAUGGACGAAAGUCUGACGAAGCGACGCCGCGUGUGUGAUGAAGGCUCUAGGGUUGUAAAGCACUUUCGCUUGGGAAUAAGAGAGAUUGGCUAAUAUCCAAUCGAUUUGAGCGUACCAGGUAAAGAAGCACCGGCUAACUCCGUGCCAGCAGCUGCGGUAAUACGGAGGGUGCUAGCGUUAAUCGGAUUUAUUGGGCGUAAAGGGCGUGUAGGCGGAAAGGAAAGUUAGAUGUUAAAUCUUGGGGCUCAACCCCAAGCCAGCAUCUAAUACUAUCUUUCUAGAGGGUAGAUGGAGAAAAGGGAAUUCCACGUGUAGCGGUGAAAUGCGUAGAUAUGUGGAAGAACACCAGUGGCGAAGGCGCUUUUCUAAUUUACACCUGACGCUAAGGCGCGAAAGCAAGGGGAGCAAACAGGAUUAGAUACCCUGGUAGUCCUUGCCGUAAACGAUGCAUACUUGAUGUGGAUAGUCUCAACCCUAUCCGUGUCGUAGCUAACGCGUUAAGUAUGCCGCCUGAGGAGUACACUCGCAAGGGUGAAACUCAAAAGAAUUGACGGGGGCCCGCACAAGCAGUGGAGCAUGUGGUUUAAUUCGAUGCAACGCGAAGAACCUUACCUGGGCUUGACAUGUAUUUGACCGCGGCAGAAAUGUCGUUUUCCGCAAGGACAGAUACACAGGUGCUGCAUGGCUGUCGUCAGCUCGUGCCGUGAGGUGUUGGGUUAAGUCCCGCAACGAGCGCAACCCUUAUCGUUAGUUGCCAACACUUAGGGUGGGAACUCUAACGAGACUGCCUGGGUUAACCAGGAGGAAGGCGAGGAUGACGUCAAGUCAGCAUGGCCCUUAUGCCCAGGGCUACACACGUGCUACAAUGGCCAGUACAGAAGGUAGCAAUAUCGUGAGAUGGAGCAAAUCCUCAAAGCUGGCCCCAGUUCGGAUUGUAGUCUGCAACUCGACUACAUGAAGUCGGAAUUGCUAGUAAUGGCGUGUCAGCUAUAACGCCGUGAAUACGUUCCCGGGCCUUGUACACACCGCCCGUCACAUCAUGGGAGUUGGUUUUGCCUUAAGUCGUUGACUCAACCUGCAAAGGAGAGAGGCGCCCAAGGUGAGGCUGAUGACUGGGAUGAAGUCGUAACAAGGUAGCCCUACCGGAAGGUGGGGCUGGAUCACCUCCUUUU